AUUCUGCUCUUCUGCACACAUCUGCCACGAUUUAUUUAUAUUUGUAUUUAACUUGUGUUUCAUUCACAGGAGUAAUAGCGUGAAUGUCUUGGUAACAACAACCCAGCUUAUCCCAGCACUUUCAAAAGUCUUGCUGUAUAGUUUAGGAGGAGUCUUUCCAAUUGAGAAUAUUUACAGUGCAACAAAAAUAGGUAAAGAUUUUUAUUGUUGAAAUGUGUAUACACUGUCACUUUAAUCAAGUUUAAAACAAGACAAACAAACAAACAAACAAGGCCUAUGGCAGAUUAUGUGCUGCACAAACAGAGAUUAACCCCUUAGCUGCCAACAGCAGCGUCAUAGGAGUGUCAUCAGUCAUUCCGGAACUAGAGUUCCAGCAUGGCUAAUGUCAAUUGUGUGCACUUUGUUGCACAGAAUGUCAGUCAUUGACUGUUAGCAGUUAGUUUAUGUUCUCAGCCAUUGGUGGGUCUACAGCACUGUCAAAGCCAGAAACACGUCACUGGACUACCAUGGAGCAUCGGAGACCAGCAGGAGCCAGGUAAGAGGGCAAAUUGUUGAUAAACAGUUUGACCCAUUAUUGGGGAUCCAGGACAGGGUACUCCUGGCAUCAUAAACAGUACAGAUAAUGGUUGUGAUGCUUGGUGAAACUAUUUAACUUAAAUUUGGGUAAAAAAAUACAUAUAUCCUUUUUGAUAGCUGUGUGUCUUUACUAUGGAUUAUCAAUAUUUCCAUGUUGGUUUUAUCAUAGCUCUGGAUAUACUUGCUUACUAAAAAGGCAUCCAGUCAUAAUUUAGGGUAUCACUUGUAAAUAAUUGCUUAGCAAUGUGGAUGUGUUCACUCCUCAUCUUUACUGCUCACACAGUUUCUCCUGAGUGUGGACUUUCCUCUCCUUGAGGUUUGAUAGGAUGUUGUCCGUACAGCUUGACGGAGACAGUAAACAAAGUAGUGGACAAAACAGGGUGUAAGUUAAUGCAUUCCUGUCACUCAGAGAUAUAGCUACUGUCUGAAGUGCAAGGUAAUUAGUUUUCAAAAGAAAUAGCUAUCGGGAAUGUUAACAGAAUUGUACAUAAAGGAAUGCCAAAAUGUUACUCUAAUGUAAAUAGGUUGCAGUUGGAAUCACUUGAGCUAAGGAAAUUGCUGUUAACCAGGCAUAUAGAAUAAGCCCACAUCACAUUUUUCUUUCAGGAAAAGAAAGUUGCUUUGAAAGAAUAAUACAAAGGUUUGGAAGAAAAGUAGUUUAUGUUGUAAUUGGGGAUGGUGUAGAAGAAGAACAGGCAGCAAAAAAGGUAAACUGUUUCACUCAUCAUUAAAACAAAUUGUUAUGUUGUGGGGGAAAAAAAGAACCAUUCAGGGUUGUUCAUAUAUCCAGGAAUUGUUGGGAAGUGACAAAAGAAUUAAACAUUUUAAAAUGCACAAGCUACAAAAAUAGCUACAUUGGGAAAAUGUUCAGUGUUGUCUAAUUUGUUAAGGCCUGAUUCCUGAUUAAAAGAGCGACCCUGUUAGUCUGAUGAUACAAGCUAUUUUCACAAAAUAUGUUGCCAUGAAACAUUGUAAAAUACAAUGCAAAUCUACCUAAUUGGAGUGAUUGACAGUUGUUACAUUAUAUUACACAUUAUUAUGCUAUGUUUAAUAAAUAUUACUUUUGUUAAUGCAUAUUUUAACUUUUUCUGUACAUAAAAUAGCCAGUUCUACUUUAAAGGGGAACUGUCCCUUCUCUGGAAUUUACACUAACGUUUUUCCUGAAAUACCCCAUUUAUAUUAAAUAUUUAUAAAAUUAUAUCAAAAUCUAGCUCAGAUACGGCAAAGGAAAGGGCAAACACUGCAAAUGGGUAAGAGGUGAAAUGGAAAUAUUGGGGGUUAUGUAUAAAACAUAUUGUAUGCUGAAGUGUGGUCUGUUGAAUCAGCACACACAUUGCAUUGGUGACUUUGCCUUAUUCCCAUGUUUGCAUCACUUUUCAGGGGAAACACUUUUUUUUUUAGGUAACCACGUUGUUUUAUUUCUCCUCUUCUCUGCUUUCUCUAUACUGACUGUGUAGAUUUCUACAUUUAUAUUUUUCACACUCCACAGAAACAUAUGUGUUAAAUAUAGAGUAAAAGUAAACAUUAUGUUGUGACAGUUCCCCUGUGAAAGGAAACUCUUAGCUUCGGAGCCUCUGCAUCUUAAUGUAUUGGUUCUGGUCCAAAGAGACUGGCUCUGUAGUCUCAGCAAUGUAAACAAUGCCUUUUCUGUGAAACGGCCGUGUUUCAUUUGCUGCCUAAGUGGCAUUUAGUGGCUGUCAAUCAGACAUCUAUUGCAGGUACUUCCUAUUAGGGUCCUGCAAUCUUGUUAACCUAAAAAGAUUAGAUGAGAACGGCACAGUUUAGUGAUUGCCUCACAUUGCAGUAUUCCCUUAGUGAUCGUCUGUGAAAUAACAAACGUAUGUAACAAUGGAGUGCCUAGGGGACAUUAGAUUAAAUAUAUAGCUAAGCGUAAAAACGGGUAAAAAAUAUAGGUAACCUAACAACCUAUAACAUUAGAUAAAUACAAUAAUCAGAAAAUUACCCUAUACUUUUAUCCAUAAAAAGUAAUUGAAGGUUGUAUAAAAACAAUCUAUCAAUAUUGUAUAAAUGUAGCACAAAAUUGUAAGUCUUUUGAAAUAAAAGUUGCUUUUCAAUAGUCCUUUAAAGUUAUUAAAUUCAUCCACAAAGCCGGCUUAUUUCCAAGAGUCCCAAUAUGAAAAACAAAAGAAGAUUAAGGAUAUGGUUAAAAAAAAAUCUCCUUAGGGAGAGCUCAUUUGCAUACACAGCAAUGGCCACGCUCGCAUUAGGAUUUCCUCAUAGGAAAGCAUUAUUCAAUGCAUAGCGUGCAUAGCGUGACGACGUCCAGUGUCGUUUAGGCAAACAAAAGUCGCCUAAUCACCCUGAAGUCCAGACUACCAGAAAGCCACUAGAAGAGGUGUUAACCCUAGCAGGCAAUUAUUGCAGUUUAUAAAAAAAACUGCAAUAACUACAUGCUCUGGGUUAAGGGUGAUGGGAGUUUGCACCCAGACCACUUCAAUGAGCUGAUCCAUUUAUAAUUAUGGGAUGCAGAAUGUAAAUCAGUGUUAGUGGAUAGGGUAUUUUAUUGUAUAUCACAGGGUGUUUACCAAAGUUAUGUACAACAUUCUAGAAAAUGUUCUGCAAAAAAGGCACCUUAUUUAUUAGUGUAUAGGUUCAAUUCGUGUUUGAUUUCUGUGGUAGAGGAAUUGCGGUAGAAGGCCCACAUAUGCAUUUUUGCAUUAUUGCUUGUUUUAUACUUAUCCUUUUUGGGCCAGUUAUCAAGCUUUAUUUGAGUAAAGUAAAGUAUAGAUUUUGUCUAUAGUUGUUCCAGUCUCACCAUUAAAGUGAACCUGUUGUAAAAAAAUAAAAUUACCUUAAAUGGCUCCCAUAUAUGAGGGAAAACAGAAAACAGUAUUUGAUCACCUGCUGAUUUUGAACGUUUGUCCACUGACAAAGAAAUGAUCAGUCUAUAACUUUAAUGGUAGGUGUAUUUUAACAGUGAGAGACAGAAUAACAAAACAAAACAAAAAAGAAAAUCCAGAAAAACACAUGUCAAAAAAGUUAUAACUUGAUUUGCAUGUCAGUGAGCGAAAUAAGUAUUUGAUCCCCUAUCAAUGAGCAAGAUUUCUGGCUCCCAGGUGUCUUUUAUACAGGUAACGAGCUGAGAUUAGCAGUACUCUCUUAAAGGGAGUGCUCCUAAUCUCAGCUUGUUACCUGUAUAAAAGACACCUGUCCACAGAAGUAGUCGAUCAAUCAGGUUCCAAACUCUCCACCAAAGCCAAGACCAAAGAACUGUCCUAGGAUGUCAGACACAAGAUUGUAGACCUACACAAGGCUGGAAUGGGCUACAAGACCAUCGCCAAGCAGCUUGAUGAGAAGGUGACAACAUUUGGUGCAAUUAUUUGCAAAUGUAAUUAACAAAAAAUAACUGUCAGUCUCCCGCUGUCUGGUGCUCCAUGCAAGAUCUCACCUCAUGGAGUUUCAAUGAUCAUGAGAAUGGUGAGGAAUCAGCCCAGAACUACAUGAUCUCAAGGCAAUGAUCUCAAGGCAGCUGGGAGCAUAGUGACCAAGAAAACAAUUGGCAACACACUAUGCCAUGAAGGACUUAAAUCCUGUAUCGCCCGCAAGGUCCCCCUGCUCAAGAAAGCACAUGUACAGGCCUGUCUGAAGUUUGCCAGUGAACAUCAGAAUGAUUCAGAGGAGAACUGGGUGAAAGUGUUGUGGUCAGAUGAGACCAAAAUUGAGCUCUUUGGCAUCAACUCGCCGUGUUUGGAGGAGGAGUAAUGCUACCUAUGACCCCAAGAACACCAUCCCACACCGUUAAACAUGGAGGUGGAAACAUUAUGCUUUUGGGGUGUUUUUCUGCUAAAGGUACAGGACAAUUGAGCAGCAUGAAAGGGACGAUGGACAGGGCCAUGUACCUUCAAAUCUUGGGUGAGAACCUCCUUCCCUCAGCAAGGGCAUCGAAAUGGGUCGUGAAUGGGUAUUCCAGCAUGACAAUGACCCAAAACACACAGCCAAGGCAACAAAGGAGUGGCCAAAUACUUAUUUUACGCAUAGACAUGCAAAUCACCAUUAAAAUUAUAGACUGAUAAUUUCUUUGUCAGUGGGCAAACGUUCAAAAUCAGAAGGGGAUCAAAUACUUUUUUCCCUCACAAAGAUACAUGGUGUAUUCAGUGUAAAUUAUAAAGACCUUUUUCUUCAUUUCAGCUACUCCAUCUUCAUGCUCCGUGGGUGUUACUCUUCAUGCAACACCAACCUCUUCAACAGCUCCACUUCUGUUCUUAUUUGAUUUGCCUUAUGUGGGAUACAUCCCCAAGAAGGGCAAAUCUUAUCAGUGAUGAUUUGCUGACUUUGUUGCCAACGUGCCGGGGUCGGAACAGAGUGGCGUCAUGUAAUUUUGUUCCUAUACUCCCUAGCCGGUGCUAGAGUUUCCAUAGCAACCACAUCGCAUGCACUGUGGUUGCUUUAGGAGGAGAGCAGAGGGGCCUCCUGUGGUAGGUCUUUUCUGCUCUCCCUUGUCCGUUAAUGCCUCUCCACACUGAGGCAUUUGCUGACAGCUGGGAGAAAAACAUGUUAUCUAUACAUUUGCUAGCAAAACUGCUAGCACCAUGUAUAGAUACAAUCUCAUACUCAAUCUAAAGAGCAAAUGUUAUUGGGGCAUGAGAAAGGCAUUUUAAAGUAUGGCUACUUUUCUUAUUCUCUAGAGGGAGGCCCUGUUUCCCAUAUGGAAUCAAUCUCUAGAAAGCAAAGCAUGUAAUCAAUUUAUUAAUUUUAUUUUAUGGUCAGGAACUGAGACAGUAAUAUAAAACAAAAUAGAAGCUUUUUCUUGGAGUGCAAAAUGUUUAAAUACAAAUAAUCAUUUUCUUUUGGGAUAAAUGACAUUUGUGUUUUGGGAUUUUUUCAUAGAAGACAUGCUUUUAAAAACUGAUCUAUUUACACAUGAAGAAAUGUGAUAAAAGUCUCGUCUUGGGAAUGAAUCAGGAACUAACAUCCUUUCCGUGAGCUGUAUAACAUUGUCUUAAGGAAGUAAGACAAUAUAAAUAAAAAUAUUUAUUGGGUGCCUAAAGUCAAGCCUAUCUCAGGGGACUCUUGAAAGAAAGUAGUGUUGGAAAUUCUUAUAUUUGUGUCAGAUUUGAAUUAUCAUAUGUUAAAUGUAAAGAAACAAAUUAAAUUUCAUUGCAUAUAGCAUCAGCAGAUAUUAUGUAUACAUUCAACAUAUGUAUUAUAGUUUAUAUGUUGGCAGUAUAAUACAGAGUGCUCUACAAUAUGCGCUCUAAAGGUUACAAAUAUCAAAGGGUACCCAACUUUGCCAAACGUACAUUUUAAUUGAGGAAAUUGUAACUCAGGUAAUGCUUGGAAAUAAGGAUUUUGUACAUGAAGAAUACACAUAAGGGUUUCUUCACUAUGCAGCAAAAUUGUAUUGAAUUGAAAUGGAAAGGUUAUAUUUAGGCGAAAAUGGCCAAUUUGAUAAAAAAGUAAAAAUGUCAUGUGUCCUCUUAUAAAUUUGCCUCGUUUCCUCUUUGACCAAUCAGAUAAAGGAGUGAUGGUAGUGGUGUUGGAUUAAAGGGACACUAUUUUCUGAUUCUCCCUUGGCACUGUCUCCCGCUUCUUCCCAUGUGAUAUCAUCCUGAAGACAUGACUCCAGAAUGAUGGUCCAAUCCAGUGCUCCUGGUAGAAGAGCAUUGGGGACUAUAGGCACAUGUGCGGCACUUACCGCCAUCCGCCAAAUAUUCUCUUGUUAUAGAUAAUCAUUUAAUGCCAUGAUGAUACUGUAUGGCUGGGUAUAAGAGCUGGGAAGGAACAGUCCUGGCUCUCCUCUCCAAAGGGCUUGGAGGCAUGGCCUGAAGCUGUGCUGUCAAGCCUUCUAAUUAUAAAAAUAUUGUAAUUUUGAGACUUGUAGAGGGUGGGGGAGGAACUAUUGAAGACACUAUAACAACUUUAAUUAGAUGAAGUAGUUAUAUUGAGUACAGUGUUCUUUAAGUAUUCAGGGCAACUGGUCUAAAUCUCCUGGUUUAGAGGCGAGUUAAAAUUUCUGAAUUAUCAUACAUGGCAACUUAGUACUGGCAAGCCUGGACAUUGUAAUAUGUUGGGUAGGGAGCUGGGUGUGGAUCUUUGGUUCAUUACAUAUACAUCAACCUUCUAUAUGGCAUGAAAUUGAGUAUUUAUUAAUCCUAGAAUAAGUACCAUUCAACCGCACAUCCCACUUGUCAAAUCAUCAGGCAUUUUAGUAAAACAACCCACAAAUCGUUCUUUUGUAAGAUAUGCAUUCUUAUAAAGCUCCUCGUGCCUUGAAAUGGUAUAUAACUUAUCCUCAUGUUGCUCUUCCAAUGCCAAGCUCUGAAAUAAAACAUGUCAGAAUAUUGUUUUCACAGCUAUUUGAUUAUGCUUUCACUCUCUCUUACUACAUGUUUUCCUGUGUUCUCAUCACUACAGAAUAACAUGCCUUUUUGGAGAAUAUCAAGUCAUUCAGAUCUUUUGGCUCUACAUCAAGCACUGGAACUAGAAUAUUUGUAACUAUUUGCAUCUUGGACGGCCUUUUGUAUAUGUAUAUAAAUAUAUAUAUUUUAAGUACACACUGAAUUUUUAUUUGUGGUUGAAUGCCUCUGGCUUUUUACAUACAUGGAUUGUCUUAAAAAGGGAAGAAUUAUCUGGAACAAACCAAUGGGAAUGACAAAGGAUUCAGACUGCUACAAGAGGAGCAAAAUUACAAAAUCUCGAGGGCUGCUCCAAUCAAAGAUAUUUAUGGUCAUGCAUGUAAGGCUUUUAAGGCAUCUGGCCAAUGAAGACUCACUAGUUCUUGCACCAAGGAAAUCAUAGUAAUUAAGUAGAGCAUUUGUGCAGGACUCGUUGGCUGGUGCUUUCUGACCGAAGAGGGGGUGUUCUACAUUCCUCAAAAUGGGAUCUUACUCUCAACACUGAGGUGUGAAUCAGACAUAAACCUACCUAACCCGGAAAAUCUGAAUUUAGAAUGCACUCCAACUAUAUGAUGACAAUCAUGUCUAGACCUGUAAUUUUGUGUAAAUUAUUGAGUAAAAAAUAAUAAUUUACUGUGACUUUAUUAGCAGCCGAUUUUGAAAGUGGAUGUAAUGUUUGUAUUUUUUUUUGUUUGUUUUUUUGGGGGGAGGGAGAGGGGAAGCUGGGAAGAGGUUGGAGAGAUCUAAAAUGGUAUCAUGCUGUCUCUUUUAUAAGUUUGGCAAUCAGAAUGUGCAUAAUGAUGUGUUGUGCCUUAAUGACAAGACAGUGUUUGUGUGUUACAAUGUAAUUUUGGUUAAAAAUGUAGUUACAUGAAAUCUUCCAUUUGAGAUGAUUUCUUCAUACAUGACCAAAUUGAUCUAUAAAACAGGAAAAGCUGCACACUUUGCGGCUAAGAUUUGUUGCAGGAAUAAAUAAAAACAAUGGAACUUUGUGUUUUUAUUUGGGUUUACAUGACUCUGUGUUUACAACCAUGGGCUAAAUUUUAAGGGUACUUUUAUUUUGUGGACAUGUUUGUUCAUUGGCGAGUCAGAAAAGCAUAAUAAUGUUCAUAUUACAUUCAACCAUUUUUUUUCCAUGUAUUUAAGUUUUGUUUUCCAAAACACAAAAUACAACAACCGAAACAACUAAAUACAAUACUACGUGAAAUAUAAUUUUUUUCAUCAAUAUAGAGUAGUUUUAAUUAUUUCAGAAAUCUUUUUUUUUUAACUCUUGUAAAAAGAUAUAAUAGUGGAUAUUUAGAAAAUGUAAUUAUAUGAAGCAUGUGCUGUGUAAGCCAUAUGCAUGCAUAGCUGCGUAGUUAAGUGUUUUUUUUUGAACUUUCAGUUCUUAUCACACUCUACUCUUCAUAAGAGUAGAACACACUUAUAACUAAACAAACUGUUAGGAACUUCUCAAGUCUCAAUUCACUAGCAUAUGCAUGUAGGUAACACAUAUUGCACAUGAAUACAACAGAAGCCAUUCAAAAAAACGUUGUAGAAUAUUGAUUUUCAGCUGGUAAAAGCACUUUCUAAUGGAAUGCAUUGUAUCUUGUCUUUUCUUUGGAAUUGUAUAAAAGAAAUCUAUUUGGC
rnacentral:lncRNA from 1 species